rnacentral:rRNA from 1 species
GAUGAACGCUAGCGGCAGGCUUAACACAUGCAAGUCGAGGGGUAGGUUACUUCGGUAACUGAGACCGGCGCACGGGUGCGUAACGCGUAUACAAUCUACCUUUUACAGAGGGAUAGCCCAGAGAAAUUUGGAUUAAUACCUCAUAGUAUUUUCGGAUCGCAUGAUUUGAUUAUUAAAGUUCCAACGGUAAAAGAUGAGUAUGCGUCCCAUUAGCUAGAUGGUAAGGUAACGGCUUACCAUGGCAACGAUGGGUAGGGGUCCUGAGAGGGAGAUCCCCCACACUGGUACUGAGACACGGACCAGACUCCUACGGGAGGCAGCA